UCCAACUCAGGAACCCUGAGAUCAUGUCCUGAGCCAAAGUCAGACGCUUAACCGACUGAGCCACCCAGUUGCCUUGUUAUUUUUGGUUUUUAAGUUUUUACCUAGUUCUCAGUUGUGAAGAAUUCUUUCAAGAACAGUUUCUCUAAAGAACAUAUUUUAAUUAAAUGCUAAUUAAUGACUUUUCUUAGUUUUUCAAUUUAGUAGACCAUUUUUAAUGUCCAUUAAAGUGAAAUAAAACUUCCACCCUUAAAUGUGUUUGUUAAUUAGAAAUUUUGUCAAAAUAAUUUGAUUUCCAUUUCUUCUUGACAAAGCAGGUAUACUGUCCAAAUGAUUGAAUUGUUAAAUUAUCUUUAAGACUUUCUUAAUUGAAGUAAGAGGACUAUGAAGCCUGGAAGACGGGAACAUCCCUGAACCUGUAGUACUUUCCUGUCAUCCCCCAAAAAUGAGACUAGAUGAGUAUAGUAGUAUUAAUGUUUUUAAAACACUGUGAUCCUUUCCAUCAGUUUGCAGUCCAUAUUUAUUCAUACUUUAUGUGAUUAAUUUGUUAAUAUCUGUAUCCUCUUAUAGACUGAAUAUAACCUUGAGUAUGUUUUGACCAACCAUUAUGUCUCCAUUCCAUUUUCUAGUACAGUGCUUGGCAUAUUGAUUGGCUUUUGUAAGUAUCAAGAAGCAAUGCAGCACUUGUUAUGGGCCAGUCACUUAAUCCUAAUGAUAACUCUGUGAGGUAGGUUCUGUUAUUAUAUUGCAGAGGAGGAAAGUGAUUUAUUGCAGAGGUGAAAUAACUUGCCUUAAGUCAAAACUAGUGAGUUAGGGAGAGUAGAGAUUUCAAGCUCAAGCAGCCUGGCUUUGUGUUCUGUGCUUGUCUUUUAACUAUUCUGUGGGGCUUAUGUGUGUCAGUUGUAUUAAUAGUUUCCAUGAAACAUUGGCACAUAGCAUGGAAAAUUGGUAACUCUGUGUUUGGUCACCAGAAACAGAUGUUUAGUUACGUAUGUUGUGUUAGAAGAUAAGUUUAUGAAAUAAAACAUGUAGUCCUUAUGUCUGAGUGGUUUUAGUUUUAAUAAUAGCUGGAUUAAAAACUUCUGAUUUGUGAUUUGACAACUGUUAGGUCUCUAGUUUCUCUCAGCAGCCUCCAAAGAAUUUUCAUAAUCCUCAGUUUCAAAACAAGUUUCCAUUGUUAUUUUGAAAAUGAUAUGUAUCUUGUAUGGAGCUUAUAGAUAGGAAUGCAUAUCUGCGUGUUAGAUAAAAUGUGUAAUGAAACAGCA